rfam:Erinaceus europaeus unplaced genomic scaffold scaffold00102, whole genome shotgun sequence
GGAUGUGAGGGCGAUCUGUUUGCAACAUCUGUCACCCCAUUGAUUGCCAGGGUUGAUUCAGCUGAUCUGGCUGGCUAAGCAGGUGUCCCCUUUCUCCCUCACCGCUCCAUGUGCAUCCUUCCUGAAGCUGCGUGCUCGGACGGCCUGCCCCGAAUAGAGAUAGACCAGUCUUCGGUCGAGGGUAUACGAGUAGCUGCGCUCCCCUGCUAGAACCUCCAAACAAGCUCUCAGUUUAAGCUUAUUUAAAUUCAGAAGUUUACCUGGAGUAUGCAUAGUAUAUAAUACAUAAUCUGAUAUCCUUUUCCACUUAUAUAUUAUUUAGCAUUAUAUGAUUU